rnacentral:rRNA from 1 species
AGUGAACGCUGGCGGUAGGCCUAACACAUGCAAGUCGAACGGCAGCACAGUAAGAGCUUGCUCUUACGGGUGGCGAGUGGCGGACGGGUGAGGAAUACAUCGGAAUCUACUUUUUCGUGGGGGAUAACGCAGGGAAACUUACGCUAAUACCGCAUACGACCUACGGGUGAAAGCAGGGGAUCUUCGGACCUUGCGCGAUUGAAUGAGCCGAUGUCGGAUUAGCUAGUUGGCGGGGUAAAGGCCCACCAAGGCGACGAUCCGUAGCUGGUCUGAGAGGAUGAUCAGCCACACUGGAACUGAGACACUGUCCAGACUCCUACGGGAGGCAGCAGUGGGGAAUAUUGGACAAUGGGCGCAAGCCUGAUCCAGCCAUACCGCGUGGGUGAAGAAGGCCUUCGGGUUGUAAAGCCCUUUUGUUGGGAAAGAAAAGCAGCAGGUUAAUACCCCGCUGUUCUGACGGUACCCAAAGAAUAAGCACCGGCUAACUUCGUG